UACGUAGGGUGCAAGCGUUGUCCGGAAUUAUUGGGCGUAAAGAGCUCGUAGGCGGUCUGUCGCGUCGGCUGUGAAAUCCCGAGGCUCAACCUCGGGUCUGCAGUCGAUACGGGCAAACUAGAGUAUUGCAGGGGAGACUGGAAUUCCUGGUGUAGCGGUGAAAUGCGCAGAUAUCAGGAGGAACACCGGUGGCGAAGGCGGUUCUCUGGGCCUUACCUGACGCUGAGGAGCGAAAGCAUGGGGAGCAAACAGG
rnacentral:rRNA from 1 species